rnacentral:rRNA from 1 species
UAUUAUACUAAAAGUUAAUAAAAACUAAAAUAUUAUAAGAUAUAACCUUUAAAUUUAAAGAAUUUGGCGGUAAUUUAGUCUUCCCAGAGGAACCUGUUUUUUAAUCGAUAAACCACGAAAAAUCUUACUUAUUACUUAUAAACAUAAAAGUUUGUAUACCGUCAUUAUCAGAUAAUAUUUAGAGGUAUAUUAUUAAAUCUUAGAAAUUAAAAUAAAUUAGAUCAAGGUGCAGCUAAUGUAUAAGUUAAAAUGGGUUACAAUUAAGUUUAUAUAAAUAUGAAAUAAAAUAUGAAAUAAUUUUAGGAAGGAGGAUUUGGUUGUAAUAGGGAUUAAUAAAACAAAAAGAUAUAAGCUCUAAAUUAU